rnacentral:rRNA from 1 species
UAGGGAAUAUUGGUCAAUGGGCGAAAGCCUGAACCAGCCAUGCCGCGUGCAGGAUGAAGGCCCUACGGGUCGUAAACUGCUUUUGUACGGGAAGAAAUACCUCUACGUGUAGAGGUUUGACGGUACCGUGAGAAUAAGGAUCGGCUAACUUCGUGCCAGCAGCCGCGGUAAUACGAAGGAUCCUAGCGUUGUCCGGAUUUACUGGGUUUAAAGGGUGCGUAGGCGGACUAUUAAGUCAGUGGUGAAAGCCGGUAGCUUAACUAUCGAAUUGCCAUUGAAACUGAUAGUCUCGAGUAUAGUUGAGGUAGUUGGAAUGUAUCAUGUAGCGGUGAAAUGCUUAGAUAUGAUACAGAACACCGAUUGCGAAGGCAGAUUACUAAACUAUAACUGACGCUGAGGCACGAAAGCGUGGGGAUCAAACAGGAUUAGAUACCCCUGUAGUCC